UAGGCAGAACGACUCCCAUUCUGGUCAGUGGUGGUAUGAUAAAUAGCAUGACCUAUGCUAACUCUCGCAUCAAAUUAUCUACCCAUAAUUAUCUCGAACGAAAAACUUCCCAACUUUAUUUCGUUGGACAACCGCAUUUGCGUUAACUUUAACUAAGCUAACUGGGCCAGCUUCACAGAAUUUACUGAGAACAACUUCACCGCCCUACCCAUUCCUACGGACGUAACCGUUGGCGAACGUCGAUUCCGUAAGAUGAUCGCAACAGCUACCGCUCACUUCAUCCCGGCUGAAAGAAUUGCGGAACUCCGCCCUGAUUUCCCAGCCGAAGCAGUUGUUAAAGCAAACGAGCGAGUUAAUACUUUAACCUUUAACCACAACCUUAUCUUUCAGUAAACAUUAAAGAAAAAUCAUCAAAACAACUUUAUCUUAGAACAAUAGAAGCGCACUAUCAGUACAACAAACAAUAACAACCCAAAUAGUUAUUUACUAGUAAACAACUAGCAUCUCAAUAGUAUGAGCAGCGAUAAGCAUAGCCUAUAUAAGCAACUGGAACAAUAGCCUCGAAGUCACUUUAUCAUUAUCGACUGCCGAGUAACAAGUUCUGUAUACCACUUGUAAAGGUACAGUUUAAGUUUAAUAUAUUCAAUACUUAAGUACAUGUGUAUACUGUGAAUUAUUAAACGAAUAAAGGAUCAGUCAGUACCAAUCUCAUUGGCUGACUUAAAAUUAUAUUUAUUUUA